rnacentral:rRNA from 1 species
AUGCAGUCGAGCGGAACGAGUUAUCUGAACCUUCGGGGAACGAUGAUGGCGUCGAGCGGCGGACGGGUGAGUAAUGCCUGGGAAAUUGCCCUGAUGUGGGGGAUAACCAUUGGAAACGAUGGCUAAUACCGCAUAAUAGCUUCGGCUCAAAGAGGGGGACCUUCGGGCCUCUCGCGUCAGGAUAUGCCCAGGUGGGAUUAGCUAGUUGGUGAGGUAAAGGCUCACCAAGGCAACGAUCCCUAGCUGGUCUGAGAGGAUGAUCAGCCACACUGGAACUGAGACACGGUCCAGACUCCUACGGGAGGCAGCAGUGGGGAAUAUUGCACAAUGGGCGCAAGCCUGAUGCAGCCAUGCCGCGUGUGUGAAGAAGGCCUUCGGGUUGUAAAGCACUUUCAGCAGUGAGGAAGGCGAGUACGUUAAUAGCGUGCUUGUUUGACGUUAGCUGCAAAGAAGCACCGGCUAACUCCGUGCCAGCAGCCGCGGA